rnacentral:rRNA from 1 species
UACGGAGGGGGCUAGCGUUGUUCGGAAUUACUGGGCGUAAAGCGCACGUAGGCGGCUUUGUAAGUUAGAGGUGAAAGCCCGGGGCUCAACUCCGGAAUUGCCUUUAAGACUGCAUCGCUAGAAUUGUGGAGAGGUAAGUGGAAUUCCGAGUGUAGAGGUGAAAUUCGUAGAUAUUCGGAAGAACACCAGUGGCGAAGGCGACUUACUGGACACAUAUUGACGCUGAGGUGCGAAAGCUUGGGGAGCAAACAGG